rnacentral:rRNA from 1 species
CCUACGGGAGGCUGCAGUGAGGAAUAUUGGUCAAUGGACGAGAGUCUGAACCAGCCAAGUAGCGUGAAGGAUGACUGCCCUAUGGGUUGUAAACUUCUUUUAUAUGGGAAUAAAAUGUUCCACGUGUGGGAUUUUGUAUGUACCAUAUGAAUAAGGAUCGGCUAACUCCGUGCCAGCAGCCGCGGUAAUACGGAGGAUCCGAGCGUUAUCCGGAUUUAUUGGGUGUAAAGGGAGCGUAGGUGGAUUGUUAAGUCAGUUGUGAAAGUUUGCGGCUCAACCGUAAAAUUGCAGUUGAAACUGGCAGUCUUGAGUACAGUAGAGGUGGGCGGAAUUCGAGGUGUAGCGGUGAAAUGCUUAGAUAUCACGAAGAACUCCGAUUGCGAAGGCAGUUCACUGGACUGCAACUGACACUGAGGCUCGAAAGUGUGGGUAUCAAACAGGAUUAGAUACCCUUGUAGUC